UACGGAGGGUGCAAGCGUUAAUCGGAAUUACUGGGCGUAAAGCGCACGUAGGUGGUUUGUUAAGCUAGCUGUGAAAUCCCCGGGCUCAACCUUGGCACUGCAGUUAGAACUGGCAAGCUAGAGUAGGGUAGAGGGGUGUGGAAUUCCAGGUGUAGCGGUGAAAUGCGUAGAUAUCUGGAGGAACAUCAGUGGCGAAGGCGACACCCUGGACUCAUACUGACACUGAGGUGCGAAAGCGUGGGGAGCAAACAGG
rnacentral:rRNA from 1 species